GACGAACGCUGGCGGCGUGCUUAACACAUGCAAGUCGAACGGAAAGGCCCCUUUGGGGGUACUCGAGUGGCGAACGGGUGAGUAACACGUGAGUAACCUGCCCUUGACUUCGGGAUAACUUCAGGAAACUGGGGCUAAUACCGGAUAGGAAUCCUUGCUGCAUGGUGGGGGUUGGAAAGCUUCGGCGGUUUUGGAUGGACUCGCGGCUUAUCAGCUUGUUGGUGGGGUAGUGGCUUACCAAGGCUUUGACGGGUAGCCGGCCUGAGAGGGCGACCGGCCACAUUGGGACUGAGACACGGCCCAGACUCCCACGGGAGGCAGCAGUGGGGAAUCUUGCGCUAUGGGCGGAAGCCUGAUGCAGCAACGCCGCGUGCGGGAUGACGGCCUUCGGGUUGUAAACCGCUUUCAGCAGGGGCGAAGCUUGUGGUGACGGUCCCUGCAGAAGAAGCACCGGCUAACUACGUG
rnacentral:rRNA from 1 species